AUGAACGCUGGCGGCGUGCCUAAUACAUGCAAGUCGAACGGGGAGUAGCAAUACUCUUAGUGGCGAACGGGUGAGUAACGCGUUGGUACCUGCCCCGAAGCGGGGGAUAACGGACCGAAAGGUCCGCUAAUACCCCAUGUGCUCGGUAACGAGUAAAGGUGAAAACCACUUUGGGAGGGGCAUGCGUCCCAUCAGCUAGUUGGUAAGGUAACGGCUUACCAAGGCGGUGACGGGUAGGGGACCUGAGAGGGUGGCCCCCCACAAUGGAACUGAAACACGGUCCAUACACCUACGGGUGGCAGCAGUAGGGAAUAUUGGUAAUGGGCGCAAGCCUGAACCAGCAACGCCGCGUGUGCGAUGACGGCCUUCGGGUUGUAAAGCACUUUUGACUGGGACGAGGAAGGACGGUACCGGUCGAAUCAGCCUCGGCUAACUACGUG
rnacentral:rRNA from 1 species